CACGCAGUAAACGAUGAUUACUAGGAGUUUGCGAUAGACAGUAAGCUCCCGAGCGAAAGCGUUAAGUAAUCCACCUGGGGAGUACGCCGGCAACGGUGAAACUCAAAGGAAUUGACGGGGGCCCGCACAAGCGGAGGAACAUGUGGUUUAAUUCGAUGAUACGCGAGGAACCUUACCCGGGAUUGAACGUAAGUGGAAUAACGUCAAAAGAUGUUAGCUAGCAAUAGCCACUUACGAGGUGC
rnacentral:rRNA from 1 species